AAAAGGACACUAAGGAAAGGCUAUUAGAUGAUUUAAUCUAUAUUGGAAGAAAAUUUAACAGCUCUUUGAUAAACAAUAUCUAUAUACAAAUAUAAGAGAGAGAGAGAGAGAGAGAGAGAGAGAGAGGGAGAUGAAAAGGAAUUCCUAUAUAUAAGAGAGUGAGAGAGAGAGAGAGAGAGAGAGAGAAAGAGAGAUAGAUAGAGAGAGAGAGAGAG
rnacentral:lncRNA from 1 species